AGCACCGGCUAACUACGUGCCAGCAGCCGCGGUAAUACGUAGGGUGCAAGCGUUAUCCGGAAUUAUUGGGCGUAAAGGGCUCGUAGGCGGUUCGUCGCGUCCGGUGUGAAAGUCCAUCGCUUAACGGUGGAUCUGCGCCGGGUACGGGCGGGCUGGAGUGCGGUAGGGGAGACUGGAAUUCCCGGUGUAACGGUGGAAUGUGUAGAUAUCGGGAAGAACACCAAUGGCGAAGGCAGGUCUCUGGGCCGUUACUGACGCUGAGGAGCGAAAGCGUGGGGAGCGAACAGGAUUAGAUACCCUGGUAGUCCACGCCGUAAACGGUGGAUGCUGGAUGUGGGGCCCGUUCCACGGGUUCCGUGUCGGAGCUAACGCGUUAAGCAUCCCGCCUGGGGAGUACGGCCGCAAGGCUAAAACUCAAAGAAAUUGACGGGGGCCCGCACAAGCGGCGGAGCAUGCGGAUUAAUUCGAUGCAACGCGAAGAACCUUACCUGGGCUUGACAUGUUCCCGACAGUCGUAGAGAUAUGGCCUCCCUUCGGGGCGGGUUCACAGGUGGUGCAUGGUCGUCGUCAGCUCGUGUCGUGAGAUGUUGGGUUAAGUCCCGCAACGAGCGCAACCCUCGCCCUGUGUUGCCAGCACGUCAUGGUGGGAACUCACGGGGGACCGCCGGGGUCAACUCGGAGGAAGGUGGGGAUGACGUCAGAUCAUCAUGCCCCUUACGUCCAGGGCUUCACGCAUGCUACAAUGGCCGGUACAACGGGAUGCGACACGGCGACGUGGAGCGGAUCCCUGAAAACCGGUCUCAGUUCGGAUUGGAGUCUGCAACCCGACUCCAUGAAGGCGGAGUCGCUAGUAAUCGCGGAUCAGCAACGCCGCGGUGAAUGCGUUCCCGGGCCUUGUACACACCGCCCGUCAAGUCAUGAAAGUGGGUAGCACCCGAAGCCGGUGGCCUAACCCUUUGUGGAUGGAGCCGUCUAAGGUGAGACUCGUGAUUGGGACUAAGUCGUAACAAGGUAGCCGUACCGGAAGGUGCGGCUG
rnacentral:rRNA from 1 species